rnacentral:rRNA from 1 species
AUUGAACGCUGGCGGCAGGCCUAACACAUGCAAGUCGAACGAGUGGCGGACGGGUGAGUAAUGUAUGGGAAACUUCCUGAUGUAGGGGGAUCCCUACUGGAAACGGUAGCUAAUACCGCAUACCAUCGUAUGUGCCCCGAUGGGAUUAGCUAGUAGGUGGGGUAACGGCUCAUCUAGGCGACGAUCCCUCGCUGGUCUGAGAGGAUGACCAGUCACACUGGAGCUGAGACACGGUCAAGACUCCUAGGUGAUGCAGCAGUGGGGAAUAUUGCAGAAGGGGCGCAAGCCUGAGGCAGCCAUGCCGCGUGUAUGAAGAAGGCCUUCGGUGUGUAAGGUACUGUCAGCGGGGAGGCGUUACCCGCAGAGGAAGCACCGGCUAACUCCGUGCCAGCAGCCGCGGGAAUAC